CAGCCCUCCAGAGGAGCAUGCUGGAGGUAAAUUGGUAGAAAAGGUGUGUAUCUGCAGACUUGGGAGCAGUGUCUGCCUUCCUGUGGGGUGCAUGGGGGAGCUCAGGCCAUAAAAUGGGUUACCCUGUACUUUGCUGGAGUGACAGGUUUGGAUGUGCCCUUGUUCUGUAUGCAGCGGCUGUUUCUGUUGGAGCACCGUGCCUGGCUGCUGGAAGAGAAGACAUCUCGAGCAUCUGAUGAAGUGAACUUCAGCUCAUGAAAGCUUGUGCUAUUUAUCUACUUAGUCUAUAAGGUGCAAAUCUUCCCUCCUUUCUACUUGACAUCAGACCAGCACACUACUAUGUCUCAAGGCCAACAAGCAGCACCUGACUUUUACUGGGUAUCUGACAGAAGAGUUGGAGCAGAGGAAAUUGGGAGAUGUCCGUGAACUUCUCUGCUCGAUCCUGCCUGUGCGUGGGGUGGGGGGCACUUGUUUUGGGCUUCUGAACAUUUCCCGUUGCCACCUGUCUUCCGGCUGCUUCCCUUUGACACAGCUGGAUGUGUCACUACCGCUGUCACCUUUGCUCCAGCUGUCUGGUUUAUCAGCUCAUUACCCUAAUGCUCAGUUAAGUGUCUCUUUACAUUAAUUGAUAUCUUGCCUUUGAAUCUGUUUCAUACGUUUGUAAUGUGUGAAUAAACCUGGACCUUUUGUCGAGUCAUUCCAAUCUACAGACACAGCUGUUCUUCUGUAUUUGUAUCUCUUGCACAGCUGCCCUUGGUCUUCAGUCCUUGUUUUCCUUAAUGAAGCUAUCUUUACUUGUCAAAUGAAAAGCAUAGAGAGGUAUAAAUACAUGCUUUCCCCUAAAUUAAUUUAAACCACUUUGGAACAAGCCCUGUGUGUCACUGUGGGUAGCAAUGGAAACCCCAGCAGUAGUUGGAACCAAAUGCUAUUGGGUUCCAUAAUAGACCCAUGAAUUUCAGGGCCUGAUGUGAUCCUUCUGAUAACUUAGUCCAGCCUCCUGGCCAGAGAAUUUCAGUUGCUGAUUUCUGCAGCAAAUCUUUAACUUCUGGCUGCGUUAGAGCAGGUUUGAAGAAAAAAAUGUACUCGUGAUUUAAAGACUUCCAACGGAUGGGCAGUCCACCACAUGGCUGUUGAGUUACUUCUAUGGCCGGUUACUCUCGCUGUUAGGAAUUUGUCAUAAGGAAGAGUUUUUAGAAGAUGUGGUGUCCUUGUGUAGCUUGGUGGCAUGUCUUCAUGAUUGUACUGAGACCGGAUCUUGAUUCAUUUUUUGUCAUCGUUAAGGCUACCAGCAGGCGUCUAUUUGGCCUUUCAUUAACAAAACCCAAAUUACAAAGAUGACAUUUUAUUUAGCCUCUGUUUUUUUGGGUGGCAUUUUAUUUCGUUUAAUUUCAUGCAGCUUUCUAUGGCUCAGCGUCUAGAUGUUGAAAUGAUUUAAGGGAACUUCACUGCAGGAAUCCUUAGAGCAAAGGCAGAAGUUAGUCACAGAAUGUGUUUUAGAAAUACAAGGUUUGCCUUUUACUUUCCAAGCGCAAUAAAAUUUAAAAAAAUGAGGACUGCAAAACUCUGGAUAGAGGCUGCCUAGCAAGCACUUUUGUUCUUUUCUCAUCUUAAGAUUUCCAGGCUUUGUAGCUCACAA